UAAAUAUAAAUUAUAAUAAUAAUAUAUAUAGCCUAAUAAUUAACAUAAAUUAUAAAUAAAUAAUAUAUAGAAUACAUAAUAAUAAUAAUAAUAAUAAUAAUAUAUACUUUUUCCUUUCAACCAUCCAACCAAACAAUUAUAACUGAAAACUAAUUUUAUUUUCCUACAAACCAAAAACUAAAAACCGUAAAACAAAUUUUCCACGAAAAACUUUUUUUUCCACGGAAAAUUGUUUUUCCCAGUUUUACAAACUUUUUUUUCCACGGAAAAUUAUUUUUUCCAGUUUUACGUAGAACCAAAACAAU
rnacentral:lncRNA from 1 species